UUUGAUUCUAAAAGGAACCAUAGAAUGCAGAGUUACGAGUUCAACUCGAUUUCGAAACAAAACACACAAGAAAGACUCACACAUAAUCUAUCAAGAACACAGAUUUAACAAAACAAAUUAAAAAUAAUAGAAUCACUAAACAUACAACACAUAACAUCAAGAACGAUAUUAUUAUUAACGAGAAACAAGAAUUACAAGAAAAGAUACCGAACAAAAGGCGAGCGAGACCGCAAGAAACUCGGAUCUACCAAAGGCGCAAAAACCCUAAGCUCUCAC
rnacentral:lncRNA from 1 species